rnacentral:snoRNA from 1 species
UAGCCUAUGAUGAUUAGCAUUUAUGUUGGAAUUACCGUCAGAUUCUCAAAUGACGAUACUUGUCUGGCUUCCUGAGGCUUAGU